GGCACGCAGUUUGCAAAUAAGCAAGUCAGAAAAAAAUGUAAAAAACAGCAAUUAAAAAAUAUUUAAACUAGAAUCAAAAACUAUGCCAACAAAGAUAGUGCUAGGUUUGGAUAAAUAUUCGUUUUGUGUCUAUCAGUUCAAAAGAGUGGUGUCGCUGUUGAAAACGAUUCAAACUUUCCCUUCCCCUAGUAGCGCAGACACUUGAGGCCUUCCUGUUCUCAUUUUUUACGCACCAACCGAGCCCAGCAAUACAUCAGCCUUGCUUCCGUAUAAUUUACAGGACCACAGACGCACUUUACGCCAUAAGCACAGAGAUAAGUUAUGGGCGAAAAUGGAAAAUAUGGAAGUUUCCUGUUGCCAUUGGAACUAUCAAAAUUCUUUGACACGGUAAAUCAUGCAGUGUUCAUAACCAACACUACCAUUUAGGGAGGUCAAUCACUAGAGUGAUCCACAGAAGUCGCUAGAGUUAUUACGGCACAGAUUCAAGCUGAGGAUUGUUAAAUAAGGGGUUCCGCAGAAUAUGAUGUUCUUGGAAGUUCUCUUCACCACUAGAAGGUAUUUAUUUGAUUUAAUGUAACGCCGAAAUUUACAUUUGGGCAGGAUAUCACCAAACCCUGAUCAAAGAUAAAUUGUGGAGUGAUCUCCGCAAAAUCCAUGGCGAACCUCUUCACCAGCUGAACGAAGGAGUUACGGCACAAAUUGAACGUGGAAGUCGAUGACAUCCAAAUUGCAUAAAGAUGUUCAGAGUCACAUUCACACUCCACAUACGACGGCUCAAAGUAUAGAGUCUCAAGAAACUCCUAACCAGGUCGCUAACCGACAACACCUGGGGAAAAGGCAACGAAAAUUUUCUUAAUACUUACAACUCCACAUUUCCUUGAAGUUGAAAAUGAAGAAGCUAUAAACCUGUCAGAACACCACCCUGAGGAUCAUAAGAGAAAACCUCCUGAUAUGACCAGCAUCUGCUGGAAGCUGAACAGCCUAACAAAUAUUUCAGGAAGUACUUGACUUGAACUCGACUGAACUACUUUAAGCAUCAUAUCACAGAACCGUUGAUCCGGUCGAGCUAUCCACAGGCCCUCAACGCUACUCUCAGAGAGGCUGUAAACAUUUUUAUUAACUAUGUCCGCAUGAAUGGUAUAACGAAAACAAUAUCACCACCUAUAGUAGACCAGGAACUCGAGUAAUACUGACACUGCUACAACAACACAUAUUAUACUUCUAACCAUCCACACUCGAAAUGCUUAACGUAUGAACUGGAUGUAAUGAGUUCGAGCACGGCACCAACUACCUCUAUGUAUGUCACUAAAACACAAUUCUCUAACAUCGAACUCUCUCCCCUUCGAAACAGCUCUUUCCCUGGGCCUCCCGUUAGAUGACUUUGACGAAAUCGACUAACCUUGUCCUAGAUUAAGCAAUCACCUACAACAACAUUGACACUAGAAUCGGAUUCUGCUAUAAUAAAAAAUAUUAUUUUGGAAAUCCAUUUACG